rnacentral:rRNA from 1 species
GACGAACGCUGGCGGCGUGCUUAACACAUGCAAGUCGAACGGAAAGGCUUCUUUCGGGGGGUACUCGAGUGGCGAACGGGUGAGUAACACGUGAGUAACCUGCCCUUGACUUUGGGAUAACUUCAGGAAACUGGGGCUAAUACCGGAUAGGAGCUCCUGCUGCAUGGUGGGGGUUGGAAAGUUUCGGCGGUUGGGGAUGGACUCGCGGCUUAUCAGCUUGUUGGUGGGGUAGUGGCUUACCAAGGCUUUGACGGGUAGCCGGCCUGAGAGGGUCACCGGCCACAUUGGGACUGAGAUACGGCCCAGACUCCUACGGGAGGCAGCAGUGGGGAAUAUUGCACAAUGGGUGGAAGCCUGAUGCAGCAACGCCGUGUGCGGGAUGACGGCCUUCGGGUUGUAAACCGCUUUCGCUCAUGACGAAGCUUUGUGUGACGGUAGUGGGUAAAGAAGCACCGGCUAACUACGUG